rnacentral:rRNA from 2 species
AAAUUGAAGAGUUUGAUCAUGGCUCAGAUUGAACGCUGGCGGCAGGCCUAACACAUGCAAGUCGAACGGUAACAGGAAGCAGCUUGCUGCUUCGCUGACGAGUGGCGGACGGGUGAGUAAUGUCUGGGAAACUGCCUGAUGGAGGGGGAUAACUACUGGAAACGGUAGCUAAUACCGCAUAAUGUCGCAAGACCAAAGAGGGGGACCUUCGGGCCUCUUGCCAUCGGAUGUGCCCAGAUGGGAUUAGCUUGUUGGUGGGGUAACGGCUCACCAAGGCGACGAUCC